rnacentral:rRNA from 1 species
AGAGUUUGAUCCUGGCUCAGAUUGAACGCUGGCGGCAUGCCUUACACAUGCAAGUCGAACGGUAACAGGUCUUCGGAUGCUGACGAGUGGCGAACGGGUGAGUAAUACAUCGGAACGUGCCUAGUAGUGGGGGAUAACUACUCGAAAGAGUAGCUAAUACCGCAUGAGAUCUACGGAUGAAAGCAGGGGAUCGCAAGACCUUGUGCUACUAGAGCGGCUGAUGGCAGAUUAGGUAGUUGGUGGGAUAAAAGCUUUCCAAGCCGACGAUCUGUAGCUGGUCUGAGAGGACGAUCAGCCACACUGGGACUGAGACACGGCCCAGACUCCUACGGGAGGCAGCAGUGGGGAAUUUUGGACAAUGGGCGAAAGCCUGAUCCAGCAAUGCCGCGUGCAGGAUGAAGSCCUUCGGGUUGUAAACUGCUUUUGUACGGAACGAAAAGCUUUGGGUUAAUACCCUGGAGUCAUGACGGUACCGUAAGAAUAAGCACCGGCUAACUACGUGCCAGCAGCCGCGGUAAU